GACGAACGCUGGCGGCGUGCUUAACACAUGCAAGUCGAACGCUGAAGCUCAGCUUGCUGGGUGGAUGAGUGGCGAACGGGUGAGUAACACGUGAGUAAUCUGCCCUCUUCUUUGGGAUAACGCCCGGAAACGGGUGCUAAUACUGGAUAUUCACUGAUUCUCGCAUGGGGGUUGGUGGAAAGGUUUUUUCUGGUGGGGGAUGGGCUCGCGGCCUAUCAGCUUGUUGGUGGGGUGAUGGCCUACCAAGGCUUUGACGGGUAGCCGGCCUGAGAGGGUGACCGGUCACAUUGGGACUGAGAUACGGCCCAGACUCCUACGGGAGGCAGCAGUGGGGAAUAUUGCACAAUGGGCGAAAGCCUGAUGCAGCGACGCCGCGUGAGGGAUGGAGGCCUUCGGGUUGUAAACCUCUUUCGCUCAUGGUCAAGCCGCAGCUUUGGGUUGUGGUGAGGGUAGUGGGUAAAGAAGCGCCGGCUAACUACGUG
rnacentral:rRNA from 1 species